UGCUUGCCCUUUUCCUGUGUAGGUGAAGGUGCGUGUCCCUGGGGAAGCUGCUGUUCUAGCACUGUUUUUAGGGAGCUGCAGUAGCGCAGGCCUCGCUUCUCAGGAAAGGUGAGGACACAAACUCAGUGAGGCAGAUCAGCGAGGCAGCCAAGUGCCAGGGCUUCUGUGACGCAGGCCCAGCUCUGCACUUUUCAGGUUAUGGGAUAUGAUGAAAAUGUUCCAGUGUUCUUCUCGAUAUCUUUGUUGUCUUGGUAAUUUUAAUAUUUUUAACCUCAUUUGAUCAUGUUUUGUG
rfam:Loxodonta africana clone VMRC15-75M7, complete sequence.